UACCAACCUGCAAAAACAGUCAGGCCGGAACCUUAAAUGUAGGACCUACACAACAGAGAAAGCUCCAGGAGAUAAAUGCAGAGUUUGUUAAUAAGAUACAAUUCCAAAACAGAAGCAGAAAAUAAAGAUGAAAGGUCCUGAGUGGCCCAUGAUACAGACUUUCGUCCAGGCUGCAAGGGUAAAACAAGAGGUCCGCUUCCCCAGAGACAGUAAGAGGAGACCAGGCCACCUGAGCAAGUGAAACUUGAUAGGGAUCAAACACAGCACUGUGGGGGUCAGUCUAACAGCAUGGAUCAAGUGCUACAAACACACCAAUGAUCUUUCACAGUUUCCCAAGAAUUCCAGACAUGAAAGUCAGAGCAGGUACCCGGUGACUGCUGCUUGCUGCUUGCUCCUCAAAUCCUCCAUCUUGGACAACAGUCUUCAACAUUUCAAGGCAGCUUCCAUGGUUCGCAACCACUAUCUCCCACUGUCUGUGGACAUUGACCAGCCUCUCUCAACCCUCAUAACAUGUCUCUGAUCCCUGGAAAAUGGAUCCCUUCCAUGCUGCACUUUGUAGAACACUAGAACCUU